rnacentral:rRNA from 1 species
GAUGAACGCUGGCGGCGUGCCUAAUACAUGCAAGUCGAGCGAACAGACGAGGAGCUUGCCCCUCUGACGUUAGCGGCGGACGGGUGAGUAACACGUGGAUAACCUACCUAUAAGACUGGGAUAACUUCGGGAAACCGGAGCUAAUACCGGAUAACAUGUUGAACCGCAUGGUUCAACAGUGAAAGACGGUUUUGCUGUCACUUAUAGAUGGAUCCGCGUCGCAUUAGCUAGUUGGUAAGGUAACGGCUUACCAAGGCAACGAUGCGUAGCCGACCUGAGAGGGUGAUCGGCCACACUGGAACUGAGACACGGUCCAGACUCCUACGGGAGGCAGCAGUAGGGAAUCUUCCGCAAUGGGCGAAAGCCUGACGGAGCAACGCCGCGUGAGUGAAGAAGGUCUUCGGAUCGUAAAACUCUGUUAUUAGGGAAGAACAAAUGUGUAAGUAACUAUGCACGUCUUGACGGUACCUAAUCAGAAAGCCACGGCUAACUACGUG